CUGGGCCCUGAUUAGGUACAGCUUACGGGUUUGCUCUACAGCUUGUCUGUGCCAUGUGUUGUGAGGGUAGGAAAUUCCGGCACCCAGUGCUUGGGGCAUCACCGUCCUAAACCAGCGUUUCAGGGAAUAUCCCGACGGGUCUAAUGGUAACUGCAUAAUUACGCUUCGUCUCUGCGGGUUCUCAGCGUCUUCGCUCUCCCUCUCCGGCUCUGCAGCGGAUUUCUCCCGCCUCCGCUGGCACUUAGAUGGAGCUGGGAUGCACCCGCGUGAAUCCAGACCCAGCUGAGCCAACUACAACAUGGGCAGCUCCUAGCAGAUUGUUUCCUGCCAGAGAACUAAGCUGCGACCCCAUGCCCGCCCGGGAGGGGAAAGGUAUUUCUCUCUCGCGCCUGUCCCUUCCCGGGGAUGAAGGGCGCGGGAACCGCCAUAUUAUAAUGACCACAGAUGGGGUUUACAAGCUUGCAAUGAUCGAAUAUCCGGAAGAAAUCUCCCUGGACUUAGUUGUUAAAGUACAGAAAUACAAAACCUCAUUUCUCUUCACAACAGGUCUGACUCUAGUGGGGUGCUCCUAAUAAUAAUGAAAAUUUGUAAUGUUAGAGCCCGGCAAGCUACUGAGAGUAUCCCGCCCGCACAGCAGAGCCUGGCAACCUAUCGUGGCAUAUUUGGUAUGUCAAAAACAGUAACAACAAGUCUUACAAUGGAGACAUGACUGGUGUCCACUCGAGCAAAUCGAUGAACAAUGACUUGAAGGCCUCUCCCAAGCCUGGUGUGCACAUCUCAGCAGAGGAACCAGACACCUUCAGACUCAGUCAUUCUUCUUCAAUUGAGGUUUCUGGAACAAGCUUACCAGGAGUUGCCUUCGGGUCUUAUGAUUCAGCCACCCCUCAGGUGCCUGACCAUUGCCCAUCACAGCCUCACACCUGGGCCUUGAGGACCAAAAGGUCACACCUGGUGAUGCACAGGGGUCACUCCUGGCUUUGCACUCUUGGCAGUGCUCGGGGAUCAUAUGGGAUGCUGGGAUUCAAACCCAGGUCAGCCGUGUGCAAGGCAAAUGUCCUACCCGCUGUGCUGUUGCUCCAACCCUUGGUUUUACCUUUAAAGUGUGUAUCUGAGCAGAGCCGCCAGGAACCAUCUGGGGUCCGAGAGCCAAGAGGUGUCCACGAGAGCCAAGAGGUGUCCACGCGCGUCGCCCUGAGCCUGCCUAGGCUGGUGGUCCAGGCCGACCAGCCUGUUGAAUCCACACAGCAAAUGAGCGUCCCAGGCGUGACACCCUUUAAUGGCCUCAGCGCGCACGCCCUUGCAGCCACUCACCUGAAACUGAACUGGCUUGCGGAAAGAUUUGUGUGAGCGUGUGCGUGGGAUCCCCAUUGUAAGGGGUCUGUUUCCUUCUCAGCUCCUCUGAGCACGGGUUUCACCACCAACAGAAUGGGUCCCCCAAAACCGCCAGGGUAGGCCCAGAGCAACAUUACAGUGGGAGGGCACUGGCCUUGCACACAGCCAACUUGGGUUCAGUCCCCAGCAUCCCCAUUGCAUUCCCUGAGCCCGCCAGGAGUGAUCCCUGAGUGCAGAGCCAGGAUCAGCCCCGAGCACCGCUGGGCUGAGAAACAACAGAGCACCAAGGCGGAUGUGGGGUGGGAGAAUUGGGGACCCAAGGAGCCCUGGGCUGAGCCAGAGAGGGGGGGCCCGGGGAAAAGCAUCCAGUUUCUCCAUAAGGACACUGCAGCUGGGCCUGUGCCUCGGGGUGGUGGUCUGGGUGCCCCUCGGGAAAGCCUCCUCUGCAAAGGGGGGCCAGGGCCCCACCCGAUGCCACCUGGGCUUGUCGCACCACACCAAUGCCCCUGGGUGGGUUUGGGAGGAUUUGUUGGCCCCACCCCUUAGUGAGGCCAUUCACUGGAAGAUCCAGAUGUGCUGACUUUCGGGGAGAUCGAUGAGUCCACUUGCUUCCCGGUGGGGGAUGCUGGAACUUGAGCAGGAUGAAGCAUAUGGCAAACUUCUUUCUGGAAAACCAGCCCGUGUCUCAGCACGGAGGGGAGGGUUCUGGCACCUUGAGUGGGUAGGUCACUGCCUGCAGAGUCCCUGGCCGUGCCGCUGCCAUCCUGGAGCCACAAAGGGCCGGGGGGCCGGUCGAGGACUUGGUCGACUGGGUGGAGGUGAGUGAGUGGACUGGCUGGUUGGUCAGUUGAUGAUUGAUUGGUGGAUCCAUUGAUUUACAGGCAGGUUUGUUGAUUAGUUGGUGAGUUGAUGAUUGGUUGGUUGGUCAGGUCGUUGGUUGGACUAGUCGACUGGCCUCAGGCUCGGGGAUAAGAAGCCGAGGAAAGUGGUUCAAC